GCUCCGGUGGCCUAGUGGUAAGAGCGUCCGCCUGAGAUGCGGAAGGUCGUGGGUUCUAUUCCCGGCCGAGUCA